UAAGUAAGCUUUGAUCCAGAGAUUUCCGAAUGGGGAAACCCAGCAUGAGUUAUGUCAUGUUAUCGAUAUGUGAAUACAUAGCAUAUCAGAAGGCACACCCGGAGAACUGAAACAUCUUAGUACCCGGAGGAAGAGAAAGAAAAUUCGAUUCCCUUAGUAGCGGCGAGCGAAACGGGAAGAGCCCAAACCAACAAGCUUGCUUGUUGGGGUUGUAGGACACUCUAUACGGAGUUACAAAGGACGACAUUAGACGAAUCAUCUGGAAAGAUGAAUCAAAGAAGGUAAUAAUCCUGUAGUCGAAAAUGUUGUCUCUCUUGAGUGGAUCCUGAGUACGACGGAGCACGUGAAAUUCCGUCGGAAUCUGGGAGGACCAUCUCCUAAGGCUAAAUACUCUCUAGUGACCGAUAGUGAACCAGUACCGUGAGGGAAAGGUGAAAAGCACCCCGGAAGGGGAGUGAAAUAGAACCUGAAACCGUGUGCUUACAAGUAGUCAGAGCCCGUUAAUGGGUGAUGGCGUGCCUUUUGUAGAAUGAACCGGCGAGUUACGAUUUGAUGCAAGGUUAAGCAGUAAAUGUGGAGCCGUAGCGAAAGCGAGUCUGAAUAGGGCGUUUAGUAUUUGGUCGUAGACCCGAAACCAGGUGAUCUACCCUUGGUCAGGUUGAAGUUCAGGUAACACUGAAUGGAGGACCGAACCGACUUACGUUGAAAAGUGAGCGGAUGAACUGAGGGUAGCGGAGAAAUUCCAAUCGAACCUGGAGAUAGCUGGUUCUCUCCGAAAUAGCUUUAGGGCUAGCCUCAAGUGAUGAUUAUUGGAGGUAGAGCACUGUUUGGACGAGGGGCCCCUCUCGGGUUACCGAAUUCAGACAAACUCCGAAUGCCAAUUAAUUUAACUUGGGAGUCAGAACAUGGGUGAUAAGGUCCAUGUUCGAAAGGGAAACAGCCCAGACCACCAGCUAAGGUCCCAAAAUAUAUGUUAAGUGGAAAAGG
rnacentral:rRNA from 1 species